AUUGGACCUUUUGCCAGAUGAUCCCAACUCUGACUACAUCAAUGCAAACUAUAUUGAUGGAUAUAGCAGACCACGUGCUUUCAUUGCUGCACAGGGUCCAAAACCGAAUACCGUAAACGACUUCUGGCGGAUGAUAUGGGAAGUCAAGUCUCCACAAAUUGUAAUGUUGACGAAAACUGUAGAAAUGGGCAAGCAAAAAUGUGAGCAGUACUGGGCAGACGAGGGAGUGAAGCAGUUUGGCGAAAUAGAAGUGACCACACUGGAUGAAGUUCACGGACAGGAUUUCUUAGUCCGAAAUCUACAGUACCGUAAAGUAAGCACAGUGUAACCCAGUUCACAUACAUGUAAGAGUUGUCAUAACAAUAUCGUCAUGCAGGCACACGCAUUUCUUUCUAUAACCAAAUCCGUUGAUCUUAUUAAACACGUGCCCGAAAUAUAAAUAUUGAUACUUGUUAGCAUGUCAUUAAUAUCGAGGGGUGUUGUUAUUUACUUUAUAAAACUCUGGAUGAAUUUAUCUGACUUAAGAAAGGAGACCAGACAACCCGUACUGUGAAACAGUUCCACUUCACCGGUUGGCCUGAUGAAGGCGUGCCUGUCAACCCGACGGCUUUGAUUAAAUUUCGAGAGGAAGUUAAAAAGUAUGAAAGCCAAGUUUAUGACCAAGGGCCUAUCGUUGUGC